UACUCUUUACACAUUCUGCAUUUCAGAAGUCUGCAGGAUUGAAAAAAAUGCAUGACGAAUAAAGCGGUUUCUUCAAGAAUUCACUGUAAGAAAAACCUUGCAAAAGUGUAAAUGUAAAAAAAAAUAUUUAACAAAGUUCCUCCCUGAACUUGCCAACACAAACAAACUUCUUUCUUUCUCCUUCUUCAGUAUGUAAUUGGAAGGUUCUCUCCAUGCAUCUUCGGUCCAUCUGCAUUGCUCCCAACUAACCGCUACGGCCCGACGACUGACCCGCCCACUCUAGCGUUCACUCCCGCUUUUUUUUUUUUUUUUUUAUAUACAGCCGUAGGUUCUUUAGCGGCCGAUCGCCAGUGAUGCUCUAGGCGGGAAAUCCCCAUUCUGAUUCACGUAGUGUGCUAGCUACGCUUAAGUCUCGUUGACCUCCGCAAAAAUUACUAUAACAUUUGUUACUUUCGUGCGCGCGCGCUCGCUCGCUCGCUCGCAGCGCUGCCCCAGUGUAUGUAGCACAGCAACUUGUUUCUUCGGCUUCUAGUCGAAGGUGACUGCUUAGUACCUGGUGCUUCAUGUUAAGGUUGGCCACCCCGACGCGCUUUCCUCCAGGAAGGGCUGUCGGCAGCACUCUUACUGUCGCCCACUGAUGUCGGUAAUGCUUCCAGCGCGUGUCACGUACUCACCUACGUGCUACACUGAAGAAGAAAAAAAAAAAAACAAGCAAAGCUUUUGACUAUGAUUUCAUCAUUUCCGAAAAAGUGCUUCAACUACUGCUUCAAUUUAUGGAGUAGGAAGAACAACAAUAAAUGGUACAAAAUGUGAUGCCGAGAAAAUUGAAAAACGUAUCAAAAAUGGAAACUACUGACGCCUUGAUCCUGACCCCUGACGGAUAAUGGAGGUUUUACUGUACUUGUUUCUUACCAGAACUUAUGCUGUGUGACAUAUAAACAGAGUAUAAAUCUUUAAAAAAAGGUCUAUCGUUUACUAAGCAGCAAUUUCAAAUGUGUCUUUAGCUUUUCUUUUUCCAAUUAAAAAUAUAAGCUGCUACAUUUAAACAAGCUCACUAUCCAAACUCAAGCAGUAUCUGUUUUAAUUUCAAGGACAAAAUAAAGGUCUGAAUUCCUUAAUGUAACUUUUCUUGCUGUUUGUCAAAUUGCACAGGACGACUUCCACGGUUACUUUUUUUUUUUUA